GGGGAUGUAGCUCAGUGGUAGAGCACUUGCUUAGCAUGCUCAAGGCCCUCCCUGGGAUCCAUCCCCA
rnacentral:tRNA from 1 species